AGCUUGGCUCAGUGGUAGUAUCAUAGCCAAUAAAGUUUAACCAAGGCAUGAUUGCUGCUAAUUGAAAAAAAAGGGUAAAGGUCAUCUUUUCUGAAUGCUAAUAAUGUCAGUAGUACACUGUAUAUGACAUGCAUUAAGGUUGGAGGAGUAAAACUGCA